CAGGCUUAACACAUGCAAGUCGAGGGGCAGCAUUUCAGUUUGCUUGCAAACUGGAGAUGGCGACCGGCGCACGGGUGAGUAACACGUAUCCAACCUGCCGAUAACUCGGGGAUAGCCUUUCGAAAGAAAGAUUAAUACCCGAUGGUAUAAUCAGACCGCAUGGUCUUGUUAUUAAAGAAUUUCGGUUAUCGAUGGGGAUGCGUUCCAUUAGGCAGUUGGUGAGGUAACGGCUCACCAAACCUUCGAUGGAUAGGGGUUCUGAGAGGAAGGUCCCCCACAUUGGAACUGAGACACGGUCCAAACUCCUACGGGAGGCAGCAGUGAGGAAUAUUGGUCAAUGGGCGCAGGCCUGAACCAGCCAAGUAGCGUGAAGGAUGACUGCCCUAUGGGUUGUAAACUUCUUUUAUAUGGGAAUAAAGUUUUCCACGUGUGGAAUUUUGUAUGUACCAUAUGAAUAAGGAUCGGCUAACUCCGUGCCAGCAGCCGCGGUAAUACGGAGGAUCCGAGCGUUAUCCGGAUUUAUUGGGUUUAAAGGGAGCGUAGGUGGACAGUUAAGUCAGUUGUGAAAGUUUGCGGCUCAACCGUAAAAUUGCAGUUGAUACUGGCUGUCUUGAGUACAGUAGAGGUGGGCGGAAUUCGUGGUGUAGCGGUGAAAUGCUUAGAUAUCACGAAGAACUCCGAUUGCGAAGGCAGCUCACUGGACUGCAACUGACACUGAUGCUCGAAAGUGUGGGUAUCAAACAGGAUUAGAUACCCUGGUAGUCCACACAGUAAACGAUGAAUACUCGCUGUUUGCGAUAUACAGUAAGCGGCCAAGCGAAAGCAUUAAGUAUUCCACCUGGGGAGUACGCCGGCAACGGUGAAACUCAAAGGAAUUGACGGGGGCCCGCACAAGCGGAGGAACAUGUGGUUUAAUUCGAUGAUACGCGAGGAACCUUACCCGGGCUUAAAUUGCAUUUGAAUAUAUUGGAAACAGUAUAGCCGUAAGGCAAAUGUGAAGGUGCUGCAUGGUUGUCGUCAGCUCGUGCCGUGAGGUGUCGGCUUAAGUGCCAUAACGAGCGCAACCCUUAUCUUUAGUUACUAACAGGUCAUGCUGAGGACUCUAGAGAGACUGCCGUCGUAAGAUGUGAGGAAGGUGGGGAUGACGUCAAAUCAGCACGGCCCUUACGUCCGGGGCUACACACGUGUUACAAUGGGGGGUACAGAAGGCAGCUACCUGGUGACAGGAUGCUAAUCCCAAAAGCCUCUCUCAGUUCGGAUCGAAGUCUGCAACCCGACUUCGUGAAGCUGGAUUCGCUAGUAAUCGCGCAUCAGCCAUGGCGCGGUGAAUACGUUCCCGGGCCUUGUACACACCGCCCGUCAAGCCAUGAAAGCCGGGGGUACCUGAAGUACGUAACCGCAAGGAGCGUCCUAGGGUAAAACUGGUAAUUGUGGCUAAGUCAUAACA
rnacentral:rRNA from 1 species